GUCAACAGCCCCCAUUUUUUUGUUGUACUCUAGCACACACACUGGCUUCAUCUUUGGUUGCCCAGUGAUGUGAUCAAGCUUUCUUGUGGCUGCCAUUCCAGUUGGGUGGACUGUGGUGAACUUUGGCAUCGCUUUCCUGUUUGCACGCACAGUCCCACAGGCUCCAGUGCCAAGAGACAGGAGGUGUUGGAAAAGUGUGGGACUGCUGUACCAGUUGUCCACAUAAAGGACAUGACCCUUUCUGAGAUGGAAUGAACUGACGAAAUGCCAGCCUGCCUUUCCACUUCAUCAGGGACUCAUCCACGCAGAGAUCUCUGUAUGGCACAAAGAUGCGACGGAAGGAGGAGGUGAGAGCACUGAAUACAUUUCUGAUUUUUUUCAGAGGGUCAUUUAAAAUUUCUGUUGUGUUAUUUGUAAAGUGAAGGCAGCGGAGGAGCAUGAGAAAGCGGUUCUGCGAAAAUAAAGACCGGAAGAAUGGUGUCAAGAACAUGGGGUCUGUGCUCCAAUAAUCACGGAGUGACGGUUUUUUGACCAUCCCCAUUAGGAGAACUGAUGCCAGAAAUGUGUACAUAGGAGCCCAUUUAACCAUUUUUCCUUUCAUCUCUCCUCCUUGUAUUUCUGAGGCAUAGCGGUUUGUUUCCUCAACAAUUUCUCCAACAACAUCUUCUGUUAGGAACAUUUUGAAACAGUUGACCUCACUGGGGGAUUCUGGAGGAUUUUGCACUCCACACAGUUGGUCAUCGAAAUCCCCUGGGCCUGGAGGAUUAAAAUGGUUUGUUACCUUCCAGGAUGAUGAGUCUACCCCGUCUGCCUCAGCGAAAACAUGGGCGGGUGUUGUGGAAGUUUCUUCAUCUUCACUCCUGUCAAGAGCUUCAAGGUUUGAGGGAACCUCCUCAUCGCUGUCACUGUCUGCCUCACUGUCAAAAUCCUCAUCAGAAUUUAAAAAAAUCUCCUCAAUUUCUUCUUUUAAAAUGACUGU